UUCCGGUUGAUCCUGCCGGACCCUACUGCUAUCGGGGUGGGACUAAGACAUGCAAGUCGAGCGUCUCUAGCUAUGGUGAGACGCGGCAGACGGCUCAGUAACACGUGGCUAACCUACCCUCAGGACAGGAACAAACCCGGGAAACUGGGACUAAUACCCGAUAAGCGAGGGCGCCUGGAAUGGUUCUUCACCCAAAGGGCUUUGGAAGCAUGCUUUCCAAAGUCGCCUGGGGAUGGGGCCGCGUCCGAUCAGGUUGUUGGUGAGGUAAUGGCUCACCAAGCCUAUAACCGGUACGGGCCGUGAGAGCGGUAGCCCGGAGAUGGGCACUGAGACAAGGGCCCAGGCCCUACGGGGCGCAGCAGUCGCGAAAACUCCGCAACGCGCGAAAGCGUGACGGGGCUACCCCGAGUGCCGUCCGCUGAGGAUGGCUUUUCCCCGGUGUAACAAGCCGGGGGUAAUAAGGAGAGGGCAAGACUGGUGUCAGCCGCCGCGGUAAUACCAGCUCUUCGAGUGGUAGGGAUGAUUAUUGGGCUUAAAGCGUCCGUAGCCGGCUUAGCAAGUCUCCUGUUAAAUUCAGCGACCUAAUCGUUGAGCCGCGGGAGAUACUACUAGGCUAGGAGGCGGGAGAGGCCGACGGUACUUCCGGGGUAGGGGUGAAAUCCUAUAAUCCCGGGAGGACCACCAGUGGCGAAGGCUGUCGGCUAGAACGCGCUCGACGGUGAGGGACGAAAGCUGGGGGAGCGAACCGGAUUAGAUACCCGGGUAGUCCCAGCCGUAAACGAUGCGGGCUAUGUGUUGGGGUGGCUACGAGCCACUUCAGUGCCGCAGGAAAGCCAUUAAGCCCGCCGCCUGGGGAGUACGGCCGCAAAGGCUGAACUUAAAGGAAUUGGCGGGGGAGCACCACAAGGCGUGAAGCUUGCGGUUCAAUUGAGUCAACGCCGGA
rnacentral:rRNA from 1 species